rnacentral:rRNA from 1 species
ACGCUGGCGGCAUGCUUUACACAUGCAAGUCGGAUGGCAGCACAGAGAAGCUUGCUUCUUGGGUGGCGAGUGGCGAACGGGUGAGUAACAUAUCGGAACGUACCGAGUAAUGGGGGAUAACUAAUCGAAAGAUUAGCUAAUACCGCAUAUUCUCUGAGGAGGAAAGCAGGGGACCUUCGGGCCUUGCGUUAUUCGAGCGGCCGAUAUCUGAUUAGCUAGUUGGUGGGGUAAAGGCCUACCAAGGCGACGAUCAGUAGCGGGUCUGAGAGGAUGAUCCGCCACACUGGGACUGAGACACGGCCCAGACUCCUACGGGAGGCAGCAGUGGGGAAUUUUGGACAAUGGGCGCAAGCCUGAUCCAGCAUGCCGCGUGUCUGAAGAAGGCCUUCGGGUUGUAAAGGACUUUUGUCAGGGAAGAAAAGGCUGUUGCUAAUACCGACAGUUGAUGACGGUACCUGAAGAAUAAGCACCGGCUAACUACGUGCCAGCAGCCGCGGUAAUACGUAGGGUGCGAGCGUUAAUCGGAAUUACUGGGCGUAAAGCGAGCGCAGACGGUUACUUAAGCAGGAUGUGAAAUCCCCGGGCUCAACCUGGGAACUGCGUUCUGAACUGGGUGACUAGAGUGUGUCAGAGGGAGGUAGAAUUCCACGUGUAGCAGUGAAAUGCGUAGAGAUGUGGAGGAAUACCGAUGGCGAAGGCAGCCUCCUGGGAUAACACUGACGUUCAUGCUCGAAAGCGUGGGUAGCAAACAGGAUUAGAUACCCUGGUAGUCCACGCCCUAAACGAUGUCAAUUAGCUGUUGGGCAACUUGAUUGCUUAGUAGCGUAGCUAACGCGUGAAAUCGACCGCCUGGGGAGUACGGUCGCAAGAUUAAAACUCAAAGGAAUUGACGGGGACCCGCACAAGC